CCGGUGCUUGCACCGGGGAUUAGUGGCGAACGGGUGAGUAACACGUGAGUAACCUGCCCUUAACUCUGGGAUAAGCCUGGGAAACUGGGUCUAAUACCGGAUAUGACUCCUCAUCGCAUGGUGGGGGGUGGAAAGCUUUUGUGGUUUUGGAUGGACUCGCGGCCUAUCAGCUUGUUGGUGAGGUAAUGGCUCACCAAGGCGACGACGGGUAGCCGGCCUGAGAGGGUGACCGGCCACACUGGGACUGAGACACGGCCCAGACUCCUACGGGAGGCAGCAGUGGGGAAUAUUGCACAAUGGGCGCAAGCCUGAUGCAGCGACGCCGCGUGAGGGAUGACGGCCUUCGGGUUGUAAACCUCUUUCAGUAGGGAAGAAGCGAAAGUGACGGUACCUGCAGAAGAAGCGCCGGCUAACUACGUGCCAGC
rnacentral:rRNA from 1 species